UACUAUCCACAACUGCUCAUUGAAUCUGAUUUUAUACCCCAAAAUCACAUUUUCGGCAAAUGCAAUCAACUCCGAGAUUCCUUCCGAUUUCGCUUUAAUAAGUUUUCUUUUCUGACCAAAGACCCAAAAAUAACCGCUUAUCUGCACAAUAUACAUAGUUUUGUGACCACUUAUCAUUCGGCCAUUCUUAAUUGCUUUUGCACCAUCGGUUAGUCAAUUGGCGAGUAAUACUGUACUUAACAAUUUAAACGAGGACUUUGGCGUGAUAAGAUUUGACAAGUGGGUUAUUCAAUGAAUCACUUGCUUUAGUUAUUCCCCCUUGCAAUGCUUAAAUAAUCCACUUAGACUCUUCUUUUUCGGUUUUAAAAUAUUUUCUUUUUAUUGAGGGGCUAAUAUAUUCAUUUUUUUUUUUCGUAAACAAAAACACAAUUGCAUAUCGUUUCGUUUAGUUGAUAAAUAGUGUAGAUAUGAUCUUUGGUUUUCUUAGUUUUAAAG